UACGUAGGGGGCAAGCGUUGUCCGGAGUUACUGGGCGUAAAGCGCCCGCAGGCGGUCAACCAAGUUCGAGGUGACAGUGUCCGGCUCAACCGGGCAAGGCCCUGGAAAACUGGCUGACUUGAGGGCUUCAGAGGGACAUGGAAUUCCGGGUGGAGUGGUGAAAUGCGUAGAGAUCCGGAGGAACACCAAAGGCGAAGGCAAUGUCCUGGGAAGCACCUGACGCUCGGGGGCGAAAGCCAGGGGAG
rnacentral:rRNA from 1 species